AACGAACGCUGGCGGCAUGCCUAACACAUGCAAGUCGAAUGGCAGCAGGGGCAACUCUGUGAGAAUGGCGAACGGGUGAGUAACACGUAGGUGAUCUGCCUUGAGGAUGGGGAUAGCCUGUGGAAACACAGGGUAAUACCGAAUGAGCUGACGAGACUUUGGUUUUGUUAGUAAAGGUGCUACGGCACCGCCUUGAGAGGAGCCUGCGGCUGAUUAGCUAGUUGGUGGGGUAAGAGCUUACCAAGGCGACGAUCAGUAGCCGGCCUGAGAGGGUGUUCGGCCACACUGGAACUGAGACACGGUCCAGACUCCUACGGGAGGCAGCAGCUAAGAAUCUUCCGCAAUGGGCGAAAGCCUGACGGAGCGAUGCCGCGUGAUCGAUGAAGGUCGAGAGAUUGUAAAGAUCUUUUCUACAUGAGGAAUAAGUCUGGGAGGGAAUGCCCGGAUGAUGACGUUAGUGUAGGAAUAAGCCCCGGCUAAUUACGUGCCAGCCGCCGCGGUAA
rnacentral:rRNA from 1 species